AGGACGAACGCUGGCGGCGUGCUUAACACAUGCAAGUCGAGCGGAAAGGCCCUUCGGGGUACUCGAGCGGCGAACGGGUGAGUAACACGUGAGCAACCUGCCCUUAGCUCUGGGAUAGCUCCGGGAAACCGGAAUUAAUACCGGAUACGACCUAGGCCGACAUCGGCCAUGGUGGAAAGUUUUUCGGCUAGGGAUGGACUCGCGGCCUAUCAGCUAGUUGGUGGGGUAAAGGCCUACCAAGGCGACGACGGGUAGCCGGCCUGAGAGGAUGAUCAGCCACACUGGGACUGAGACACGGCCCAGACUCCUACGGGAGGCAGCAGUGGGGAAUAUUGGACAAUGGGCGAAAGCCUGAUCCAGCCAUGCCGCGUGAGUGAUGAAGGCCUUAGGGUUGUAAAGCUCUUUCAGUGGGAAGAUAAUGACGGUACCCACAGAAGAAGCCCGGCUAACUUCGUGCCAGCAGCCGC
rnacentral:rRNA from 1 species